rnacentral:rRNA from 1 species
UCGUGGGAGUGACCUGUCUGCUUAAUUGCGAUAACGAACGAGACCUUAACCUACUAAAUAGCCAGGCCAGCUUUGGCUGGUCGCCGGCUUCUUAGAGGGACUUUCGGCUUAAGCCGAUGGAAGUGAGGCAAUAACA